AUAUGGAGGAUCCGAGCGUUAUCCGGAUUUAUUGGGUUUAAAGGGUGCGCAGGCGGGAGAUUAAGUCGGCGGUGAAAUUUUGCAGCUCAACUGUAAAAGUGCCUUCGAAACUGGUUUCCUUGAGUGUAGAUGAAGUAGGCGGAAUUUGUGGUGUAGCGGUGAAAUGCAUAGAUAUCACGAGGAACUCCGAUUGCGCAGGCAGCUUACUAAACUACUACUGACGCUCAGGCACGAAGGCGUGGGGAUCAAACAGGAUUAGAUACCCUGGUAGUCCACGCAGUAAACGAUGAUUACUAGCUGUUUGCGAUACAAUGUAAGCGGCUGAGCGAAAGCGUUAAGUAAUCCACCUGGGGAGUACGUUCGCAAGAAUGAAACUCAAAUGAAUUGACGGGG
rnacentral:rRNA from 1 species